UUCAAGUCGCUCUGUAAGUCACUCUGGAUAAGAGUGCCUGCUAAAUGACAUAAA
rfam:Salmo salar isolate Sally breed double haploid chromosome ssa07, whole genome shotgun sequence.